rnacentral:rRNA from 1 species
UACGUAGGGUGCGAGCGUUAAUCGGAAUUACUGGGCGUAAAGCGUGCGCAGGCGGCGCGUUAAGUCAGGUGUGAAAGCCCCGGGCUUAACUUGGGAAUUGCGCUUGUGACUGGCGUGCUGGAGUGUGGCAGAGGGAGGUGGAAUUCCACGUGUAGCAGUGAAAUGCGUAGAGAUGUGGAGGAACACCGGUGGCGAAGGCGGAUCUCUGGGCCAUUACUGACGCUGAGGAGCGAAAGCGUGGGGAGCGAACAGG